UGCACUCAUAUCCGGAGCUUUUGCAUAC
rnacentral:piRNA from 1 species